rnacentral:rRNA from 1 species
UAAGGAAUAUUGGUCAAUGGGCACAAGCCUGAACCAGCCAUGCCGCGUGCAGGAAGACGGCCCUAUGGGUUGUAAACUGCUUUUGUCAGGGAAUAAACCCCCGCUCGUGAGCGGGGCUGAAGGUACCUGAAGAAUAAGCAUCGGCUAACUCCGUGCCAGCAGCCGCGGUAAUACGGAGGAUGCAAGCGUUAUCCGGAUUCAUUGGGUUUAAAGGGUGCGCAGGCGGAUUGGUAAGUCAGGGGUGAAAUCCCACAGCUCAACUGUGGAACUGCCUUUGAUACUGCCAGUCUAGAGUAUGGUUGAAGUGGGCGGAAUGUGUCAUGUAGCGGUGAAAUGCUUAGAUAUGACACAGAACACCGAUCGCGAAGGCAGCUCGCUAAGCUAUAACUGACGCUCAUGCACGAAAGCGUGGGGAUCAAACAG